rnacentral:rRNA from 1 species
GGGGAAUUUUCCGCAAUGGGCGAAAGCCUGACGGAGCAAGACCGCGUGGGGGAGGAAGGUCUGUGGAUUGUAAACCCCUUUUGUCAAGGAAGAACACAAUGACGGUACUUGACGAAUCAGCAUCGGCUAACUCCGUGCCAGCAGCCGCGGUAAUACGGAGGAUGCAAGCGUUAUCCGGAUUUAUUGGGCGUAAAGCGUCCGUAGGUGGUUGUUCAAGUCUGCUGUCAAAGCGCGAGGCUUAACUUCGUACAGGCAGUGGAAACUGAGCGACUUGAGAAUGAUAGGGGCAGAGGGAAUUCCCAGUGUAGCGGUGAAAUGCGUAGAGAUUGGGAAGAACACCGGUGGCGAAAGCGCUCUGCUGGGUCAUAUCUGACACUGAGGGACGAAAGCUAGGGGAGCGAAAGGGAUUAGAUACCCCUG